rnacentral:misc_RNA from 1 species
GGCCCAUAGGUUGGGUCGUGACAAUCAGCUCCCAUAUACAUAUAUUGGUUAAUAUGACAUACGAAUGUGUGAGUGUUUCAAAUUACUCUUUAUGCGAAUAUUGUUUGAAUGGGAUGAAUUUGUUGAUUUGUACUGCAUUUCAUUCAUAGGGAUAUAUUAGAUAGUUAUAGAAAUUGUAUUUAAAAUCAAUAUCUUACUCUAUGAGUCGAACGCUCACUCCUGUUUACCAAUUUUUUCCAAGUACAAGAGAGCUUUACCUAUGAUUGACCUGUUCUCUUCCUCGCAGGUCUUUUUAUGCCUGUUCUUGUAAUUUAUAUUGAUAGUUGAGAUCUAGAACUCUACAUGUGUUAGGAGAUGCUUAAUUUGAUUUGGGAUUGUAAAGAUUAUGUAUUUUGGAAAUUGUAAACUUCAUAUGAUGCAUGUAUGGUUGAAUGGGUUGAGCUUAAGGUUUGGAUGAGGGAGCUUGUAACACCCCUCACCCGUCUACAGAAUAACCGAGCAAGGCGUGCUACACGGCGUGCCGGAGCACCUGAUUUUAUCUGAUUUCAUUACAGUUCUUGAUUUACUUGUUCAAAAACUUUAUCUGAGGUUUAGGCUAUUUUUACUGUUUAUCAAAAUCUGACUAAUUUGGAAAUUUCAAAAAUUUUAAUGAUAAUCCAGCAGAGUGCUGGCAGUAAUUUGGACUAACAGUUCUUCUGAACCUGCCAAAGACAAUUCACAACAUAUUCAAAUUCAUAGCUCAAUUUAUCUCAAUAAUAUCUCAUCAGUUUCUUAAAAUUUCUUAAACUCAAUCUUAUUCAAAAUCAUUAUGAUUAGACAAUCAAUUUAGACAUUAGAAUUCUUACAUUUCAUUAACUUAUAUAAUUUUCCAAUUAAGUACAUAAAUUUGUCGAGUACAGGAUAUACAAAUGAAAUUACAAUAUAUUUAGAAUGAACAAAACACAUAACAUGUAUAAUUUUGAGCUCUAUCUACAUGCAUUGCUGAGGAGGUGACAACCUUUGACACUCUGCAGAUCUGGACUCUCAAAAUUCCCAGUCAAACAUCCAUUGGGUUCUAGCUUCAGUACAGUUUCCUCUAGUGGCACUGAAGGGUGAUACAAUGCUUCCGUUAUUGAAUGCUUCCUGCAUGAUUGAAAUGCCUUCUUCAGAGAGAGAGGCGUUGUACUUCCUUUAUUGAAUGCUUCAUUGAUGACUGAAAUGCCGACUUCUUCAUCGACAGGGACGUUGUAGCCACCAGCAAGCCCCAGACAUCCAAAGCCAAAUUUGGACAGCCGAAAGUUGAAAAGAAAUAUUAGAAAGUUCAAGGAAUAAGAUCUCAAUGCAUUGUAUCAACUUCCUCUUUCCGCGGGUCAAAUAAUACUAAGGAUUUGUGAGUAGAUAAACCAAGGAGAGGCGACUUGCUACUCUACAAAUGAAAAUAUAAAAUCAAAUUCUGUUCUGCCACAUUUCCAUUAGCAAAAUAACACAUUUAACAACAAUAAAUAUAUAUAAUUUGGGAUAAAU